rnacentral:rRNA from 1 species
GACGAACGCUGGCGGCGUGCUUAACACAUGCAAGUCGAACGGAAAGGCCCUGCUUUUGUGGGGUGCUCGAGUGGCGAACGGGUGAGUAACACGUGAGUAACCUGCCCUUGACUUUGGGAUAACUUCAGGAAACUGGGGCUAAUACCGGAUAGGAGCUCCUGCUGCAUGGUGGGGGUUGGAAAGUUUCGGCGGUUGGGGAUGGACUCGCGGCUUAUCAGCUUGUUGGUGGGGUAGUGGCUUACCAAGGCUUUGACGGGUAGCCGGCCUGAGAGGGUGACCGGCCACAUGGGACUUGGGAUCCGCCCCAGAUCCUUACGGGAGGCAGAGGUGGGAAAUAUGGCACAAGGGGGGAAGGCUGGAGCAAGAAAGCCGGGUGCGGGAAGGCGGGCCUCCGGUUGGAAACCCGUUUUGGCUUGUAAGGAGGGGGGGGGGAGGGAAAUGGUUAAGAAGCACCGGCUAACUACGUG